rnacentral:lncRNA from 1 species
GCAGCAUCUCUGGUGCUCUGACGAGCUGUGGGACACCUCUGUCCUCCGCGGUCCUCCAUGUCCUCUCCUAGGCCGAUAACUCACUUCUUUUUAGCGCUGAGUCACAUCCCUUCCUCUGGAUGCACACCCCGCUCUCUUUCACCUUCGAAAGACAGUUUUCCCAGACGUGGAGUUUCAGCUGGAAGCUUCUUCCCCUCCAAGCUCCGAAGACGUCCUUCCACUCUUCAGGCUCACGGGGCUGCGGAAGGGAAGUCUGACGUCCUUCCUGUCCUUGCUCCUCUACAGGGAAGGCUCUUUUUGUCCCCCGCUCCACCUUUUUCAAGGAGGACAAAGGGGUUCCUCUGCAGACUUUGCCCCAGGGACUGCUUCGUGUUUUUGAAAGUUGAGGGCCUCCACGGAUUGUUCAGUUCCAAGCCAGCUCACAGCCAGCCUCCUCCGACUCCAUUUGCCAUGUAGGUCUUCCUGCCAGCCUCGGCCUCCAGUGGCAGCAUCUGCUCCCCGUUUGGUAGGACUCCCUGUAUCCCCUUGUCCCUGGUUUAGCUGUUGUUGUCUGUCUGUCUGUCUGUCUGUUCAUGUUUGCAUAGCACUUUGCCUUCUAGCCACUGGUGGAUCUAACAAGAUUUGUUGUUUUCCAACAACAAAUGUUUUUUGAAUGUUUUUCUUGUUGUGAGAAUGACAGUGAUGUCUCCAAGCUCACGCUGGAGCCGGACAGUUCCACUCCCUGAAGUACUAAGGUAAACC